rnacentral:rRNA from 1 species
CAGUCGCCGCGGUAAUACGUAGGUAGCAAGCGUUGUCCGGAAUUAUUGGGCGUAAAGGGCUCGCAGGCGGUUUCUUAAGUCUGAUGUGAAAGCCCCCGGCUCAACCGGGGAGGGUCAUUGGAAACUGGGAAACUUGAGUGCAGAAGAGGAGAGUGGAAUUCCACGUGUAGCGGUGAAAUGCGUAGAGAUGUGGAGGAACACCAGUGGCGAAGGCGACUCUCUGGUCUGUAACUGACGCUGAGGAGCGAAAGCGUGGGGAGCGAACAGGAUUAGAUACCCCUGUAGUCCCUGUCUCUUAUAC